CUUCUUUUAUCUCCUAAACAGAUACCCAUGCACAAUAACAUAUCACCCAGGAAAAGAAACGGAGCUUGCUCUGUCCUUUCGAAAAUUAAGUUGUUUUCCUCAAAAAUAAAUUGGCCCAUUAAUUUAUCUCUGGGAGGCACGUCUUUGGAUACAAUACCAUUUCUAGAUGGAUGUUCAGGUUUAUGUGGACCAGAGUGAAGUCAAGAGUUAC
rnacentral:lncRNA from 1 species